GUUAGCGGCGGACGGGUGAGUAACACGUGGGUAACCUACCCAUAAGACUGGGAUAACUCCGGGAAACCGGGGCUAAUACCGGAUAAUAUUUUGAACUGCAUAGUUCGAAAUUGAAAGGCGGCUUCGGCUGUCACUUAUGGAUGGACCCGCGUCGCAUUAGCUAGUUGGUGAGGUAACGGCUCACCAAGGCGACGAUGCGUAGCCGACCUGAGAGGGUGAUCGGCCACACUGGGACUGAGACACGGCCCAGACUCCUACGGGAGGCAGCAGUAGGGAAUCUUCCGCAAUGGACGAAAGUCUGACGGAGCAACGCCGCGUGAGUGAUGAAGGCUUUCGGGUCGUAAAACUCUGUUGUUAGGGAAGAACAAGUGCUAGUUGAAUAAGCUGGCACCUUGACGGUACCUAACCAGAAAGCCACGGCUAACUACGUGCCAGCAGCCGCGGUAAUACGUAGGUGGCAAGCGUUAUCCGGAAUUAUUGGGCGUAAAGCGCGCGCAGGUGGUUUCUUAAGUCUGAUGUGAAAGCCCACGGCUCAACCGUGGAGGGUCAUUGGAAACUGGGAGACUUGAGUGCAGAAGAGGAAAGUGGAAUUCCAUGUGUAGCGGUGAAAUGC
rnacentral:rRNA from 1 species